AGUUCUAAAGAGAUGAGUAUCUUGGCAUACAUAUAAUUUACUUAUGGCACUAUGGUUGGGAAACUUUUUAAAGAGUUGGUCUCUUUAAUUAAGCCUGGGCUUAGUACUAAUCAAACAUCAGCUUUCACCCUAACCAUAGCAUCCUGCAUAGUAUGAUAGUGGGGCAGACUUCCAGUGGUUAUAGUGCUCCAGUGCCCUAGAAUCAUACGUGUAUCAGAGUUCAAUUUCCCUUUGGCCUAACCUCAUCCACUCAGUGGACUUGAAGAGGCAGUUAUUCCUUUGUGCUUUUGUAGGAAGCAGUGUUAAAAUCACUGCAGGAUGAGAAUCUCAUACCCAAAGGAUAAUUUUUUUUUUCUGAGACAGAGUCUCAUUUUGUCACCCUCAGUAGAGUGCUAUGGUGUCACAGCUCACAGCAACCUCAAACUCCUGGGCUUAAGUGAUUCUCUUGCCUCAGCCUCCUGAGUAGCUGGGACUACAGGUGCCUGCCACAACGCCUGGCUAGUUUUAGAGACAAGGUCUAACUCUGGCUCAGGCUGGUCUUGAACCUGUGAACUCAGGCAAUCUACCCGCCUUGGCCUCCCAGAGUGCUAAGAUUACAGACGUGAGCCACCAUGCCCAGCCAACCAGAGGAUAAUUUUAUUUGAUGUUUGGUGUGGUUGGGGGAAAUUACCAAGAUUUAAGUGUUGAUCUGUUUGAUUCUGUCCACUGAUCUGGUGCCCUGAAAGAGGUUGAGCUCCCACUGAAAUGGAUUAGAGGAGUUUCAGCUCCAGUACAGUCAGUGAGAUUGUUGAGUUUGCUGUUUGGUCCUUAGUUUUUUUGUUUUGUUUUGUUUUUUAGACAGUCUCAUUCUGUCGCCCAACUUAGCAUGCAGUGGCAUCAUCAUAGCUCCAUGCAACUUCAGUCUCCAGUGCUCAAGCAAUCCUCCUGCCUCAGCCUACCAGAGUGCUAGGAUUACAGGCAUGAGCCACUGGGCCCAGCAAAACCGUACUCCUUACUAAAAGGGCUGCCAGUGGGUGCAGUCUGCUCUUCAGGACCUGAGCUGUCAGGCCAAACUCCUGGGAAGAAGACAAGAUGCUAGAAGAGAGGAAGACAACUCAUUCCUAGGGGCCUUGGAAGAACAGCAGGUUUUGGACCAUGAGCAAGGAUUAAAACUGUAAGGUUUCAUGUUUCAUGCCUCUGGAGCCCUGAGCCACCAUGAAAGAGGUCUGGCCACCUCGAAGCCUCCUCAUUGGAGAGACCACAUGUAGACAGAGAUGCUGGAGGAGCCCAGCUGUUUGAGUCUUUCCAGGCCAAGAGCUAGAUGUGUGAGUGAGGAAGACUUCCUGAUGGCUCUGGCCAACCACUGUCCGAUUGCACCCACCUAGGAGACUGUUCCAGCACAAUAACACCAUAUGGGAUCCUCACCCUCAACGUGUUAAGAAAUCUAAUGGUCUUCCCUUUCCCCAGUCCUGCGCCUCCCUGUGUUUCCUGCCUUUAAUAGCAUCCUAUCCACCUGGUCAGACCAAUGGAAGACGCAGUCUUCUAGCCCUGUCCAGUUCUUUCAAUCUCUACAUUGACCUGUCCUCAAAAUGUCACUUCUCUCCUAGAACUGUCUCAGAGAAGUUAUUUUAAGAAAAAAAAUUAAUUUUAUAAUAUAACACACUGUUAAUGCAAGGCAAUUUUUAAAAUUUCUAAGUAUUAAGGGGAUACAAAUAUUUUUGUAUUUGGAUACGUUUUUUAUAACGUAUAAGUAAGGGAUUUUGGUGUGCUCAUCACCAGAGUAGUGUUCAUUGCACCUGACAGGUAGGUUUUCAAGGCAAUUUUAAUAUAUUUAAUAGAUUAUUUAAAAAACUUCCUCAUUUAACAAGUGAUACAUGCUGACUUUAACUAGGGGGAAAAAGCAUG